CACAAUAUGUGCCAAGCCCACCUAGCACUGGAACUCGUACCCCGCCACCCUAUGGGCCAAGCCCACCAAAACUCGCUCCUGGCUCGCCAGUCUAUCAACCUCCAAUGGCUCACCCAACACCGGCUGGACCGCCACCGCCACCGCAUCAAAAUCCUCGGUUUCCGGUCUGGUGUGUUGCCAAGCCCACAGUGCCUGACUCGAUAAUUCAAGAGGCCAUGGAUUAUGCAUGCGGAACAGGAGCGGAUUGCAAGCCUAUUCAGACCAAUGGGUCGUGCUUUCAGCCCAAUACUUUGGUUGCACAUGCUUCUUAUGCUUUCAAUAGCUACUGGCAGAAGACAAAGAAUCGUGGAGGAACUUGUGAUUUUGGUGGGAUUGCCAUGCUUGUCACAACUGAUCCAAGUAAGUCCGGUCAAUAAUAUUUUUACACAAAAGAGAGUAUAAACGUUUCCACUUACACAUUUUAAAAUAUAGAUUUGAGAUGGGUCAACAUCAUACUAAUAUGAAUUUUAACUCAACUUUGACUUAUGUAAUAAAAUAAUAUUGUUUAGUCUCACAUCUGAAUUUUAAAAAGUGAGAACAUUUAGCGACAAAAAUAUAAGAAUUGCUUUUUUUUAGAGUUUGUAUAAGUGCAUAACCUUAUUGAAAUAGAAAAAGAAAUACAAAAUAAAAAGACAGUUAAAUUGAUUAAGAGGAUUGGUACCUGUCUAAAUUCUAAUAAUCUUCAUAUAAACUUUUACAAAUAAGAACCGGAGGCUUAUCCCACCAGGUAUAGAAGAAAAAAAAAAUUCAAUAUUAAUUGAGUAAUGGCUACUUGAACUUCUAAAUUUAACAAUAAAAACUAUAUAUAUAAAAAAAAAGAUAUCAAGAUGUUGGUAAUAGGGAAUAUACAUGAUCUAGACAGAAGAUAUGAAGCAUGUUAUGUAGCAUGGGGAUGGUAAUUUGUGGGCUUGGGCUGGGCUUUUCGAAGCCCAGGCUCACAUCAUUCAAACAAAGUCCACACUCUUUAAAAACCUGUCUAAAUUUGGACUGGUUGGGUUCGGGCUUUUUUUUUUUAAAAUUAAUUAUAAAAUAUUUUUUUAUUAAAAAAAUAUAUUUUAAUUAAAGAUAAUCAUCUAAUAUAUAAUAGAAUAAUAAUCCAAUACAUAAAUAUAUUAGUAAUACAACAUAAUAAAAUAAUAAAUACUAAUACAAAAAAUUAAAAUAAUUUAAUAUUUUAAGUUUUUUUAAUUUACAUUAAAUUUAUUUUUUAUUAAUACAAGUCUGAGUUUUUUUGCUAAGCCUUUAUACAGGCCCACUCCUUACCGGCGGGGCCUUAGUCCCGCGGGCCUUGGCUGGCCGCAGCCCGGGCCUUUUGCCACUCCUAACGUAGCAGGACCUAAAGUCCUAAUAAAUACAUUAACCAAAUAAAUUUUGCAAAUCUGAACCAUGCUUACAUUGUCUUCGAUCUUCAUGUUAAACUAUUAAUGUGAAAGUAUAUUUUGCUGCAAAAUCUACUCUGACAUUAUUAAUUAAGCUUAAAAUCAUAAUUAGCGCCUGGAAAAUUACAAAAAACCCCAUCAAUUUUAUUGCCAGCUAAUUACAGAGCCCAUUUGUCAAGACAUUGACAUCUUAACUAGCUAAUAAAUAAAAAUAUCCGUAUCUUAAAUAAUCAAAGUUCAUGGUGUUUCAUCUUGAAUUUAAGUUAUUUAACAGUCAAAAUUUUGUGCAUAUAUGCUUGUCGUUACCUUAGAUUAAUUAUAAUAUCUCAUUUUCCCCUGUUAAUCAAAUUCAUGACUCGUGGAUGGAAACCGAGAGCCCUGGUGCAUGAACUAUUUUGUAAAUCACGUGGACCCCUUUGUGCAUGAAACCACAAGCAAUUAAUUUGUCUUCUUCUUAUUUAUUUUUAUUUUUCGUUUUAUUUUACAGUGAUAUUAUUUGUUAAAAUGCUACAGAAAAAGGAAUAAAAUUACCUUGAUUGAUGGCAGCGAAGACGGCAAGGCCGUGAGUUAAUGAGUUUAGAUCUAGAGUUUUGUUUCUUUUUUUUUACUAUUUGAGUAUUUUUUUUUAUUUGAUUAAAUUAAAAUAUAUUUUGAUUUAAAAAAAAUAUCUCGAGUUUGGUUUUGGGUUCGGGACCUGAUAAAAUUUGUGUAUCUAAAUCCAAAAUAUAUUUGGGACUUGGGCUAAUUCUCGAAAUAUACUCAUUUGUAAUUUUGAAAUCUUUUGAAGAUCAAUACCUGACCUAAAUUAAUCGGAGGCCCAUGAGUAUGAUCCCAUGGAGAAUGUUGUCAUCCCUAGACAAAACGUUUUCAUUUCCAACAACAAUGAAAAAGAAAAUGUCGGUCUGUAGGACACAUAUAGAACAUCUAGACAGAAUCAUAUGCAUUUCGCGGAAAACAAAACUUAGCUUGAUUUUAUCUUUUGGUAUUUUGUAUUCAUUGGUCUAUCCAUACAAAUAAAUUUGUCAGGCAUUUUGACCGUUCAUAUGAAUACAAAUUCUCUAUAUAUGGGUAUAUUAAUGAACACAAAGAUUAUAUUGUGCUUAAAUUUCAUAAUAUUGUUAUGUAGUAUGUAUUAAUUUCCAAACCCUUAUCUGUCCAUUUUUUCAGGUUUCAGUGAUUGCAAUUUCAUCUCCAACUGAUACAGAGAGGAGACAUACAAGUAACCCAGCCAUUGUAAUUAAGCAACUUAUUUAGUUAUUUUGCCCUUCUUCUCUUUUUUUUUAAAAAAAAAUUCAAACCGAGAAUUAAAAAUAUUCAGUAUAGCAUUCAUUAUGUAUGUUGAAUACAAUACAGUAUUGUAUUUUCCGAUCAUAUUAAGAAAAUAGAUGUCAAGUUGUUUGAACAGUCACUCGCGGUUUAGAUGGAUUCACGAACAUAAAAUUAGAAGAAAGUAGCAAAGCCUUUCAUGUCAUUUCUACAUUUAGAGAAAUAUUGUAAAGCUAUGACUAAUUCUGAAAAUUAUUGUCUUUUGAUUUUAUGGUAGCAUAAAUUUUUAGGCGAUCAAAUAAUUUCUCUAACAAUUACUGUGAAACUUCAUGAUGAAAAAGACAUACAAAUCAAAAUUUUAACAUAUUUUUAAUAAGUGAUACGGCCAACGGAGUAAUAAAUUUAUUGGCAACACUGAACUCAGCAGUUCACCUCCCAAUUUAAUUGAGUAGCGUAAAAAUCUUCUCCAUCAAUAUGGGUAGAAUAGAUUAGAUAUUCUUUUGAUAUCAAGUGAGAGUAGAAAUUUGAAUUAUGCUAUAAUAAAUUGACAUGUGAUGCCAAAUCUUUUAGAGUGAUGAUACAAUUAUAAACUCUUGCAUAAAUUUAUCUUGUACAAAUUGAUGUGAAAUUAAUUCAUUAGUUGAAUAAAAAUAUAAAAUAAUAAAAAUAAAUCAUGUGGACUUAGAGAUAUUUAAUUCAAUUAAUUUUAUCAUGCCGCCACAUCAAUUUAUGUACAAAAUAAAUUUAUACCCAAAUUUAUAACUAUAUCAUUACUCAAUCUUUUAACAUGCCCCGUCAAAAUCCAGCAAAUGAUAAUAAAAUAAAAUAAAAAAUAAAUAAAUAAAAGAAGGCUAGGGCAGUGGCAAUGUACUUUUAUUGCUAGUGGGGUUAAAGCCUGUCUGAGCGAAGUAUGCGUAGUCUAUUUCUAUCUUCAAUGGGGUCCAAUUUGAAAAGAAGAGAAACGAAGAAAACAUAACAUCUUUUGAAGUUUUGUUCAAUCGGUAUCCAAAGCACAGGGAAAAAACAAGAUGGGUCCAAUGUCAAUACAUUCUCGCAUAAUUUUCCAUUAAUAAUUGCACGGCCUAUUUCCAUAUACAUUUCAUGCAAAAUUAAGAGUACAUGGGCCCUCGCCCCUUGAAAUUUCAAUGCAUUAUGUUGCAACUUGCAAGUUACCAAACUAUGCCAAAAUUAUUUUGUACAUUUGUGACCGACACCAGCUGGAAAGGAUAAUAGAUGGAUUAAUUUUAAUUUGCUUUUGCUAGGCUGCUACGCGAGCACGAAAUAAAAAUUAUUGAGUCCAGAAAGAAAGAUCUCAAUGUCUUUUUGUCAGCUUAUAGUUUUUAAAUGCAAAGACCUGUUAAAAAAAAAAUGCUAAGAAAAGAAGAUGUGGGUUAAUUAAUGAGUCACAUGCAAUUUGAAAUUUGAGCCAUAUCCUCUCUCAAUCACGGGCUCAACAGGGCACAAAAUGUUAAAAAUGGCCUCAAAUCAAUCAAGUACCUAUUUUCUGGAUCGAGUUAAUUGAAUCCCUUGUUGGGUCACUGUAGAAAAGAGUAUCCUCGAAAAUCCCUGUUGACACUUGACAGUGAACCCACAUGCCUACUACAGUCGGCUUUUGUCAAUAUGUUUACAAAGGUUUGGUAAAGUACAUGAAAGUAAAAAGAUAAUGCUUUUGUAAAAAGAAAAUUUUCUAAAAUUUUCUGAUGUAAGUAGGUUUUUAUUAAUUGACGUUCAUGAAUACAAGUUUUAUGAUCUGGCUAUGGAGAUUAGGUGUUUUGCAUCUCAGAUUGUGAAAGUGAAACAACUUAAAUCAAUAUAUCAUUUGUUUAACUAUCACAGCCAGCUAGCUAGCAUAAUUUUCUCAAUUGGUAAAAGAGGAAUUGUUUAAUAUCAAUAUGUCUAUUACUGAUUUGAGUUUGUCCCCCCCGAGCACUAUUGUCAAAUCGAGACAAAUUACGAAAAAUAAAAAAAAGAUAAUGCUUGAUCCAUUAGUUUCUGUUUUCCCUUUGUCUUUAUAAGAAGGCAUGCAUAUUCAUUCACUCCAUGCGUGAUUCAAUACUCUCUCUACUUCGGAGAGUUGUGGGAGUUUAAUUUUCACGAUGGGUAGAAAACAUCCUUUAGCUAAUUUCUUGAUUCUCCUCUUGAACUUGGGUACGUUGCUAUCUUCUUUAGCAUGUCCAUAUUGCCCUUAUCCUACUCCUCCCCCUCCGUGUCCCCCAACAUUUCCACCAAAACACCCUCCACAUGUAAAGCCACCUUUCCACCCCAAACCACCGCAUCACAAGCCACCCCAUGUCAAACCACCGCACAAGCCCCCGUAUGUUCCUAAACCACCUUAUUCCCCAAGCCCUAAACCGCCUUACGUGCCAAAACCACCUCAUACUCCAGUCCCUAGGCCACCAUAUUUCCCCAAACCACCUUACACACCAAGGCCUAAGCCACCAUAUGCGCCAAAACCACCUUAUACGCCAACCCCUAAGCCACCAUAUUUCCCCAAACCACCUUACACACCAAGGCCGAAGCCACCAUAUGUGCCAAAACCACCUUAUACGCCAGCCCCUAAGCCACCAUAUUUUCCCAAACCACCUUACACACCAAGGCCUAAGCCACCAUAUGCACCAAAACCACCUUAUACGCCAACACCUAAGCCACCAUAUUUCCCCAAACCACCUUACACACCAAGGCCUAAGCCACCGUACGUGCCAAAACCACCGUACACACCAAGGCCUAAGCCACCGUACGUGCCAAAACCACCAUACACACCAACCCCUAAGCCACCGUACGUGCCAAAACCACCUUACACCCCAACCCCUAAGCCACCGUACGUGCCAAAACCACCGUAUACCCCAACUCCUAAGCCACCGUACGUCCCAUCGCCACCUUAUACCCCUCGCCCUAAACCACCGUAUGUACCAUCACCACCUUAUACCCCUAGCCCUAAACCACCGUAUGUGCCAUCACCACCAUAUACCCCAAGCCCUACCCCACCAUAUGUACCAUCACCACCGUAUACCCCAAGCCCACCAUAUGUACCAUCACCACCGUAUACCCCAAGCCCUAGCCCACCACCACCACCAAGUGGAACACCGUGUCCUCCGCCGCCGCCACCAAAGGUGAGACCGUACCCUCCACCACCAUCACAAACUUGUCCCAUUGAUACU
rnacentral:lncRNA from 1 species